GAUGACCUUUGUUUGUUUAAACUGUUGGAAAAUCAAUAUUUAAAAUGAAAUCUAGAAACUGAAGUGUGCCCUCUGCAGGAUCACCAGAAUGAUGGGAAAACUGAACACAAUCAACUCAUGAACUCCCCAAGGCCCUAUACAUCAAAAGGUGAAGCUGGGUCAUGAAGGUCAUGAAGGCCCUCAGUGUGCAGCCUCUGUAAACCUGCUAAAACUAUUCUAUGAAAAUGAACAGGACUAUUCUUCCUCAAACAAAGAGAUCGUGUGAUGAAGACUCACCAGAGCUGUUCUCUAUAAGCUUGAAGAGCAAUGGUAUCAGGUGCUUUUUUUUCUGAAGCUUUGGUAGUGUAACUGUAAGAGUCCUGGAAUUGGAAAAGCAAAUCCAGAAGUUGAGUUCCAUGACUUUUUUGCUGUUUGCCUUUGGACUUGCAUCAUUUAUAUUUUUAAUUCAUCGAGGAUGAGAAAAUUGAUUAACACAAAAUCUUUUCAUGUCUUUUCUGAUGAGAGACUAGCUGAAUCCAAGAAGAGAAGCCCUUGAAGAGUGUAUUCUAUUCUAGACAAGCAUUCACACAUUGGCUUCUUUGGUGCCAGCAUGUUUCUGAUCAGCAUGAAAACUGCGCAGGAGCUUUUCUGUCUUGCAGAGCUAGUUAAUGAGAUUGUUGCUGCCUUCAGAUUCUAUAAAGGACUUCUCCAAUAUUGGAUUAAAGAAUGAAGAAAGGAUCAAAUUGAGACAUCCAGGGGGGAAGAGUUCCCUGGCAAAACUCCAAUCUGCCUGAGCACUGAGGUGGAGCCACAGAAGUCCGGGUCAUUUGCACCUGGGAGGAGCCUGGCCCCUCCUCUUCCUGUGUGGAAUCUGGGAUUUAAUCUGUGAGGAGGGAAGGCCAAGGGCAGGAAGCACAGGCUCUCACUUCACUAAGAGUCUCUGUUUCCCCUUUUUUUCCUUUAUGCCUAAUUAAUAAAUCCCAUUUUUCUCACUCUUCAAAUAGUCUUCAAGCCUAAAUUUUCAUGACCAUGGAACAAGGACCCCAUCUUUAGCUGAACUAAGGAAAAGUCCUGCAACAAAAUUCUUUGCUAAAAAUACAUGAGGUUGCCUUUUCCUUCUUAAUCUUAAAAGAAAUAUAUUUCAAUGGUUAACGUUUUAGUAAUUCAAAAAUUAUCAAGCAUUUGUUCACAACCAUAAGAUGUGCAUUGUUUUAUAUUCCUACUUAAUAAUAGACUAUAAUUGUCUAAUUAGACUGCCGAUGUUGAUCUUUGUGGCUCAUUGCAUUGAUUAUAAGCAGUGUUUUGGGUUUGUGUGUGUGUGUCAAAUUUAGGGUUUUUUUGGUAUGGCUGCUGGUUGGUGUAGCCUGUAUCCAGUAUCCUGUAUUAAUUCUAAUAUUUGCAUUUUGAACAUAUUUACAAGUUGCUAAAAUAGCAAAGCUUCGAGAUGAGCCUGGCUGAUAUGGCAAAACCCCGUCUCUACUAAAAAUACAAAAAUUAGCCUGGUGUGGUGGUGCAUGCCUGUAAUCCCAGCUACUUGGAAGUCUGAGGCAGGAGAAUCUCUUGAACCCAGAAGGUGGAGGUUGCAGUGGGCCAAGAUCGCACCACUGCACUCCAGCCUCGGUGAUAGAGCGAGACUACGUCUCAAAAAUAAAAUAAAAUAAAAUAAAAUAAAAAUAGCAAAGCUAUGUAUGGUUUCUCUGAGUUUUGUAAUUUAUCAUUGUUAACUGCAGAAAUUUAUUAUAUGAGACAUAUUAUAUGAGACAUAUAAGUGAAUUUGGAUUGGGUUUAAUUUUAUAUUUUUGAAUAUAGUUCUUCAAGAUAAAUUUUAUCUUAGACCUCAAGAAAUAAAAAUAAAAUAAAUUAGAUAUACAAACGA
rnacentral:lncRNA from 10 species